rnacentral:rRNA from 1 species
GACGAACCGUGCGAACGUUGUUCGGAAUCACUGGGCUUAAAGGGCGCGUAGGCGGGCUGCCAAGUCUGGGGUGAAAUCCCACGGCUCAACCGUGGAACUGCCUCGGAUACUGGCGGCCUCGAGGGAGGUAGGGGCGUGCGGAACUGUGGGUGGAGCGGUGAAAUGCGUUGAUAUCCACAGGAACUCCGGUGGCGAAGGCGGCACGCUGGACCUUUUCUGACGCUGAGGCGCGAAAGCCAGGGGAGCAAACGGG